rnacentral:rRNA from 1 species
UUAUUAUGAGAGUUUGAUCCUGGCUCAGGACGAACGCUGGCGGCGUGCCUAAUACAUGCAAGUCGAACGCUUCUUUCCUCCCGAGUGCUUGCACUCAAUUGGAAAGAGGAGUGGCGGACGGGUGAGUAACACGUGGGUAACCUACCCAUCAGAGGGGGAUAACACUUGGAAACAGGUGCUAAUACCGCAUAACAGUUUAUGCCGCAUGGCAUAAGAGUGAAAGGCGCUUUCGGGUGUCGCUGAUGGAUGGACCCGCGGUGCAUUAGCUAGUUGGUGAGGUAACGGCUCACCAAGGCCACGAUGCAUAGCCGACCUGAGAGGGUGAUCGGCCACACUGGGACUGAGACACGGCCCAGACUCCUACGGGAGGCAGCAGU